rnacentral:rRNA from 1 species
AUGACGUCAAGUCAGCAUGGCCUUUAUAUCCCUGGGCUACACACACGCUACAAUGGUCGGUACAAUAGGUUGCCAAAGCCGCGAGGCGAGCCAAUCCACAAAGCCGGCCUCAGUUCAGAUUGUAGGCUGCAACUCGCCUGCAUGAAGAUGGAGUUGCUAGUAACCGCAGGUCAGCAAUACUGCGGUGAAUACGUUCCCGGGUCUU